rnacentral:rRNA from 1 species
UACGUAGGUGGCAAGCGUUGUCCGGAUUUACUGGGCGUAAAGGGCGUGCAGGCGGUCUGUUAAGUGCAGGGUGAAAGCUCCCGGCUCAACUGGGAGAGGUCCUUGCAUACUGGCGGACUUGAGGGGGGUAGAGGAAAGUGGAAUUCCCGGUGUAGUGGUGAUAUGCGUAGAUAUCAAGCGGAACACCAGUGGCGAAGGCGAGUCCCUGGACAACUCCUGACACUGAGGCACGAAAGCUAGGGGAGCAAACAGG